CUGGGAUGUUGUUUUGUUCUGCAGGCCUGCAGCUGCCAGAUCCACCGGGCUCCUCUUUCACACCAUUUGUUUUCUCUACUCUCAAUUGUGAGUAAUAAAAUAAAAUUAAGUGAGCAUUAAGUUCAUUGGGUUUGGGGGUCAAUGGCUUCCGUAUGGUGUGAAUUAUUCAUGGUUGGAGACUGUAUUGGUUAGAGACAGGUUGAAGUGCAUGCUGGUCCUUGUCUGUAUGGAGGGAUCUGUCCUGAGCUCACAGUGAAACAGGAUUUAGAGUCCCACUGGGAUUUGCCUUCGCUGGACGGCUCGCUGUGGCUGUCUGUGGCUCCCCCUCCUAGAUCUACCCCUGGGGCUAUGACACAGACUGCUGCAGGUUCCCCUGCUUUUGUAAGGGAUGGAAGCUGAAAAGCUCUGAAAAGCAUCUUUCAUAUGCUGCUCAGCCACCAGCUCUUGAUGCAGUUCAUUAUAGAUGACUGAGAGACCGCUGAUGGAUUGUUAAAUGUGUGUUUAUGCUUAGGAGUCACAACCAGACGCCACAACUGAACACCAGAUGUAUGAACGGGUCAGUGGGCAAAAGCAGAGGCUCCCUGCCUUUCUGCAGAUGCGCUCUAUUGAGGGGUCGACACGCGGCGGGACGCAGUCCUGAGGAGGGGCCGCUGACGACCCCCUCCUCCUCUCUAUCACCCUGGAAACCAGCUUUCAGUGGACCAGAGCAGACCAGGGGUGCAAUGACACAGACCCAGAUCCAGAUGAAACCCGAACGGACCUCUGUGUGGCAAAUAAUACCCCAUUUGUACCCAGUUUGUCUGACAUAACAAGAGCCGCCGGCAUCUCCAUGACAGCUCGUCAUGAGAACGAAAGACCUUAUAAACGAGUAUUGUAUCCCACUGUUCUCAUGCACAGACCACACCAGAGACACAACUCACAGACCGUACUGUCCAAACUGUUUACAAACCAAACUUACACUUGUGAGAUGACUAUAUACUUCAAUUUCUAAACCAUUAGUACAAUUUCUUUUAAUCUGGUUAUUUAAUAAUGUAAUAUAAUAUAAUAAUAACUUUAUUUUUCUAUAGCGCCUUUAAAAUAGAAUACAUGAAUAAUAAAAUAAUAAUACAUUCUCUGAAAUUGUUUUGC
ensembl:lncRNA